AUAUACAGAAAACAGAAACUGGACCCCUUCCUUAUGCCUUAUACAAAAAUUAACACAAGAUGGAUUAAAGACUUACACGUAAAACCUAAAACCAUAAAAACCCUAGAAGAAAACCUAGCCAUUAUCAUUCAGUACAUAGGCAUGGGCAAGGACUUCAUGACUAAAACACCAAAAGCAAUUGCAACAAAAGCCAGAAUUGACAAAUGGGAUCCGGAGAUUGAGACCAUCCUGGCUAACACAGUGAAACCUGCCUCUACUAAAAAUACAAAAAAUUAGCCAGGCGUGAUGGCACGUGCCUGUAGUCCCAGCUACUUGGGAGGCUGAGGCAGGAGAAUCGCUUGAACCUGGGAGGCAGAGGUUGAAGUGAGCUGAGAUCCGCUACUGCACUCCAGCC
rnacentral:lncRNA from 1 species